AUUCAUUUAGGUGGUGGGUUAAGUUGUCGAUUGGAGAUUUUUCUUCUUUUUGGAGGAAGGUCUGUAUCACUAUGAAUUUCCCUCUAAGCACAGCUUUUGUGGCAUCCCAUAGAUUUUGAGUGGUUGUAUCUUCAUUAUCAUUUGUCUCAAGGUAUAUUUUAAUUUCCUUUUUGAUUUCCUCACUGACCCAUUGGGGUUUUUUUUAGUGGCAUGUUGUUUUGUCUACAUGUAGUUAGUUUUUUCUCAUUUCUUUCUUGUGGUUGAUGUCUAGUUUCAUGCCACUGUGGUCAGAGAAGAUACUCGAAAGAAUUUCUAUACUUUUAAAUGUGUUGAGGUUAGUUUUGGGCCCAGUAUGUGAUCGAUCCUUGAGAAUGUCCCAUGUGCACUUGAGAAGAAUGUAUUCUGAUUUUUUGGGGUGUCAUGCCCUGAAAAUGUCAACUAAGCCUACCUUUUCUACUGUGUCAUUUAGGAUCUGUUUUGGCAUAUUGAUUUUCUGUCUAGAGGGUCUGUCCACUGAUGCGAGUGGGGUGUGAAAGUCUCCUACUAUGACUGUGUUCCCAUCAAUUUCUCCUUUUAUGUCUGUUCAUAUUUGUUGGAGGUAUCAGGGUGCUCGUAUAUGAGGGGCAUAUAUAUUGACGAUUCUAAUGUCCUCUUCUUGAAUGGAUCCCUUUAUCAUUCAAUAUGCCCUUCUUUAUCUUUCUUUAUGGCCGUCAUUUUAAAGUCUAUUUUGUCUGAUACAAGUAUUACACCUCCUGUCUUGUCCAUUGGCGUGAAAUAUCUUUUCCCACCCCCUUAUUUUCAAUCUCUUUGCCCUAAGGUGCCCUAAGGUGAGUCUCUUGUAGACAGCACAUUGUAGGCUUUUGCUUUUUUUGUCCAAUCUGCUGUGUGUCUUUUGAUUGGAGCAUUUAGUCCAUUGACAUCUGGCCUCAGUGCUGCCCAGACCCUGAGGGUCACGGUGCUCACAAGUCCUGAACCCGACUCACUGGAGAGUCGGAGGAAAGUCCUCUUGUCUCAGAUCUUCCUCAGGACGGUCCCCUGUUCCUGUUCUGCUUCCUGGCUCACAAGGGGACCUGGGCCGAGGGAGUCACCACCUUCCCAAGGGGUUGGUUCUAACCUCAGGUGGUGCCCUGAGCUGGGUCGGGCUCCUGCUGUGUGUGGUACCGAGUCCCGGCAUUGUGCCUGGGGAAGACUGGACAGACCCCAGGGCGUCUGGGCCAGAGGACACCAGUCAGAGGAGCUUCCAGGCCCGUGAUCCACCUCCCAGCCCCAGGCGUGACCGGGCUGGGCCUGCCCAGCAGGGUGGGGCCUUUGCUUCCCUCUGGAGGUGGGUGCUGCAGGGGGCGGGGACCAGAGUGGACCCAGGCCAAUGCAUCUGAGGGACACCGUGUCUGCUGUAGCCCCCCCCGCCCCCAAAGCCAUGCCCCCAGUGCCGCUGCAGGCCUUUUCUGGAGCCCUGCCAGGAAGGGGGCUCACUGUGGCUACCGCCUACGGAAGACCCGCUGGCAUGGUGCCAGGUGCCGGCUCCUUCACAGGGACUGCGUCUCCGCGGCCUCAUCAGGAGGCUGUGGCGUGGGGCCUCUGUGAUUCCUGCAGAAGGAUGGGGUGGGGCUGUGUGGGGUUGACAGCAGGGUGACCACCCGUUCAUGAGUCACCGGGCCAGGGUCACCCACUGCCUCAGAGCCCCAGCCCCAACCGUCUACACUACCCCUCCUCCCAGGGAUGCAGGGACAUGGAGUUUGGUGCCUGUGCAGACACACAAAGUGAAGUAAGAGUUUUAACUGAGGGACCCCCCCCCACCACCUCCAGCCCUGAAAAUUGACUGCCAGCCUUUUCAGCUAUGCUGGCCUCACACCAUCCUUCUUGUAAUUGUGUAGCAACUACGUGCCCUAUGUCCAAGCCAGCAGCCCUGCUGACCGCGCUCCAAGCAUUGCCUAUCAGCUUCGCUUCCGUCACCUUAAUGCUCAGUUUCUUAGGCAGGAGCACUGUCUGCUCGGGGAAGGGCGAGGUCCGGGCUGCUCACACGGAAAACCAAGAGCCUGUAAUGUAUAAACGUUGCAGAGAACAAAGGCCUGGUGCUCAGACUCUGGAGGUGGCUCCUCUGAGCCCGCACCAGUGCGGAAUAAACCUCACUCUCCCGCAUCUCCGAGGGCCCUUUGUCUCCUUCCGCUGCCAUGGUUUCUGCAGUUUCUGCAACAACAGAACCCACCUUAGAGAGGACAAGGUCUGGCUGCUCCCAGGACUGAGAACUGAGAGCGGCUCAAGCCCAAGACUGGCCACUAGGGGGCGCCCACACACGCUCUACAAAGGCUUUGACAACUGAAGGCUCAGGGGACCCCCAGCCCAGUGACAGCAAACUAGAGCUAGUGACCUGAACCUCAGCAGGUUGGUUACCUGCCGAGACAAAGAUGACAAUAUUCUCCAUGGAAUUUCAAUGAGACCCAGAGUUUCCUGACUUUAUCGUGAAUGUAGCUGGAAUAGAAUUCUAAAUGACUUGGCGUUCAAAGAACCAAGAUCUCGAUUUGCGUGGGUGGAAAAAGAAAAUCCAGACUUGCUAACACAGAUGAUCCCGAUGUGGGAACGAGCUCGCACCACAGCAGCUCCAAUUAUGAAGAUGCUCCAGUGACCCAUCGCAACUACUUUAGAAGCCAAUGGAAAAGUGAAAACAUCCUCCAUAAAUGAAUGGCAGGUAUAAGAAGGGAACACGUGGACAUUUUAAAGGUGAAAAAUGCAGGAACCCAAAUACUCUCUCAGGAGCAGAAUAGAGAAGGUGAAGGAAAAGCCACUGAGCUGAAGAUGCAUCGAUAGAAAUGAUCCCCCCUGAAUAAUAGAGAAAAGGAUAGAAAAGCAUGAACGUAGCCUCGGAGACCUGUGGGAUGAUAACAGAAGACCUAAGACAGGUGUCACUGGACUCCCAGAAGGAGAAGAGAGUGGGUGCCCUGCUGAGACGUAUUGGGGGAAAUAAUGGCUAAAGUCUCUGAAUUUGGUGAAGGGCAUAAACCUACUAAUUCAGUCCCAAACAGCAGGAGCUACAAUUCACACACACAGAGCAAAGCAACUCUGUCCCAAUGAAACGGCUGAAUGGAAGGCAAAGAACAAAUACUGAAACCAGCCAAAGGAAAAAUGUAUUACCUACAAGGACACAACCUUUCAAGUGACUGCAGAUUUCUCAUUAGCAUCCGUUUAUCUCUGUGACGGAGACAAGAGAUCAGCAGGAGAGGAAAUAACUGAUGUUUAGCAUCAGAUGUUAGUGGGAUCGAACUGACACAUCACAUUCCAUCCCACGACUGCAGAACACACGUUGUUUUCAAGUAUACACGGAACAUUCCCUGACACAGACCAUAUCCCGAGUCAGAUCAGAUUUCAAAGAAUUGAAAUCAUACAGAAUACAUUAUCUGACCAAAGUGGAUUUAAACUAGAAGUCCGUAGAAGAAAGAUCGUAGAAAAAUCACCCCACACUUGAAAAUUACACGGAACACUUACAAAUAAUCCAUGGAUCAAAGAGGAAAGUCCUUGAACUAAAUGGAAAUGACAAUACAGGAUAUAAAAAUGUGUGCGACGCAGAUAAAGAAGUGCUGAGAAGGAAAUGUAUAGCAUUGGAUGCUCAUUUUAGAAAAGAAGAAAGGCUAAAAUCAAUAAUCUAAGCUUCCACCUUAAGAAAUAGUAAUUAGACCUGUUUAAACCCAACAGCAGCAAAAGGAAGGAAAUAACGACGGCAGGACUAGAAAUCAGUGAAAUCAACCCCAAAACCAAUACAGAAAAUGAAACCCAGAGUUGGGUCUUUGAAAAAAAAGCAGUGGAAUUGUCAGGGAGUUCCCCUUGGGGCACAGUGGAAAUGAAUCCAACUAGUGUCCAUGAGGAUGCAAGUUUGAUCCUUGGCCUCUCUCAGUGGGUUGGGGAUCCAGCAUUGCUGUGAGCUGUGGUGUAGGCUGGCAGCUGUAGCUCCAAUUAGACCCCCUAGCCUGGCAACCUCCAUAUGCUGCAGGUGCAGCCCUAAAAAGCAAAACAAAACAAAACAAAAGCAGUUUAGGUUUAUAAAAAAUUGAGAAGCUAGUGCAGUUUCCAUACACUCCAUGGCUAUAGUUUCCCUAGUAUUGUCUGGCGUUCCUGUGGUAUAUUUGCUACAAUUAAUGAACCAUCGCUGACGCAUUAUUAGCCAAAGUCCAUCAUGUACUGGGAUGACCUAGCUUUUCACCUAAUGUCUUCUUUCCUGUCCCAGAGCCCCGUCCACGCUACCUUUGGUGUCUUGUCUUCUCGGAUUUCUCAGAGAGUCUUGGUUCUGAGGACCGUGGUGGAUUGAAGCACACGGCUCAGGGGUCCUGCGGGAUGCCCUCUGGUGGAACCUGCUCGGUUGACUCCUCAGGACUGGACUGGAGUCAUGGGCUUGGGGAGGAAGAUCAGAGGGCAAGUGCCCUCUCGUCGCAUCGAGGGUACUUUAUGACUCACCCCAUCAACAUGCUUCCUAACUACUGAUGUUGGACUUGAUCGGACCCUCUGGCUGAAGCCCUUGUAUUCCCUUUUCCCCUUUCCAGGCUGUAGGAUUGGGAGAGAAGUCGCUUUGUGGAGCCCACACUUGCAGAGGGGGGGUGAUGCUGCCCUCCUCUAGACUGGAAUAUCUGCCUAAUUUACUUGGAAUUCUUCUGCAAGGAGGUUUAUUUCUUCUCCAUUUAUUUCAUUAUUCCAUUAGUUGUGCUUUUAAAAUUAUCAUGGACUUCCCAUUGUGGCUCAGUGGUAUGGAACCUGACGAGUAUCCACGAGGACUCGGGUUCGACCCCUGGCCUCGCUCUGUGGGUUAAAGAUCCAGCAUUGCCGUGAGUUGUGGAGUACGUCACAGAUGUGACUCGGAUCUGGUGUGGCUGUGGUGCAGGCCAGCGGCUGCAGCUCCAAUUCAACCCCUGGCCUGGAAGCUUCCAUAUGCCACGGGUGCUGCCCUAAAAAGACAAAAAACGAGAAAAAAAUGUGUUUUGUUCACCAUAUCUGCUCCGCUUUGGCCUCUGGGAACCCUUUUAGAAACCAGGAACUGGCCACUAGGUGUUGCCUGGUGAUACAGCGUGACUUCUUUCGGGCUCCUCAGCUGGCAGGCUGGAGACGCGGGUGUGUGCCCAACAACCCCGUGUGUGCAGAGAUCCCUAAGUGUGUCUGUGUGGAGCCACCCGUGUCUGCACUAAGUCCUCACGUCUUCAGGGUAUGUCUACCCAAAAAUCUGAACGUAGGUGUUUAUAGCAGCUUUAUACAAAAUUGCCAAGACCUGGAAGCCGCCCAGAUGUGCACAUUCACGCGAUGGGAUAUUGUUCAGCAGUGAGAAGAAAUGAGCUGUCACGUCACAGAGACACACGGGGGGACCGUCC
rnacentral:lncRNA from 1 species